rnacentral:rRNA from 1 species
UACAGAGGGUGCAAGCGUUAAUCGGAAUUACUGGGCGUAAAGCGCGCGUAGGUGGUUGUGUAAGUUGGAUGUGAAAGCCCCGGGCUUAACCUGGGAACUGCAUUCAAAACUGCACGGCUAGAGUACGGGAGAGGGGGGUAGAAUUCCAGGUGUAGCGGUGAAAUGCGUAGAGAUCUGGAGGAACACCGGUGGCGAAGGCGGCAUCCUGGACCGACAUUGACGCUGAGGCGCGAAAGCCAGGGGAGCAAACGGGAUUAGAUA